rnacentral:lncRNA from 1 species
UAGAAUGAGGAAAUUACUGCCAAUAGCUUGUUUAUUUUAAAUAUGUACAUUUCCAUAGAAGUGAAUAAGGCUGAUGUAAAGUGAUUUGUGUCACCAGAUAAAUGGAGGUAGAAGCAAACUCUCUUCAGACUUAAUUAUAUUUUCUGAAAUAGCACAUGUUCAAUUGUUAAAGGAGUAUAUUCAGGGGACUCCCUCAAAGUAUAUUUACUGAAAACAAAAGUAGGAAAAUCUAUCCAAGAAUGUAUUUGCUUUCAAUUAAAAAUUGGUCUUCUAAAUAUUAAAUCUGUAGCCCAUCUGCUUCUGUUUAAACUGGAAUCUAAUUUGGAAAAGUGUGAUGACUUUGUGAGUUUUUAACAGUAAUGAAAGCAAAACAGAAAAUUGUUUUAUCAUAUAAUAGAGGUCAUAUUUAUCCUAGAGGCCUUUUGAAAUGUCUGCUGAACUACAAAGUCUAAGAAAACCUAUUUAAAUGCCCUGGGGUCUUUUCCCAAAAUGAAAU